UGUCCAGACUCCUACGGGAGGCAGCAGUGGGGGAUAUUGCACAAUGGGGGGAACCCUGAUGCAGCGACGCCGCGUGGGUGAAGAAGCGCCUCGGCGCGUAAAGCCCUGUCAGCAGGGAAGAAAAUGACGGUACCUGAAGAAGAAGCCCCGGCUAACUACGUGCCAGCAGCCGCGGUAAUACGUAGGGGGCAAGCGUUAUCCGGAUUUACUGGGUGUAAAGGGAGCGUAGACGGCGCGGCAAGUCUGAAGUGAAAGGCAGGGGCUUAACCCCUGAACUGCUUUGGAAACUGCCAUGCUAGAGUGCUGGAGAGGUAAGUGGAAUUCCUAGUGUAGCGGUGAAAUGCGUAGAUAUUAGGAGGAACACCAGUGGCGAAGGCGGCUUACUGGACAGUAACUGACGUUGAGGCUCGAAAGCGUGGGGAGCAAACAGGAUUAGAUACCCUAGUA
rnacentral:rRNA from 1 species